rnacentral:ncRNA from 1 species
AAAAAUCUUACUAUUAUAUUUGUAUCAAAAUUUGUAUAAGUAUAAAAGCACUUAUACAGCCAUUCUGCUCGAAAUGGUACAGCGGUUUUUUAACUGGUGUUAUGAAUUGCAGCAACGCGAGAGUCGGCGUAUAACAGGCUUGGCGGUGUCCUGAGUGGGUACUUUGUAGGUGGUAAACAUAGAAAGUAAGCUAUGCCAUUAGUUGCUGGGCAGGACUAGCAACAUCAAGCGAAUUAGCUUGAUACAAAGUAAGU